rnacentral:rRNA from 1 species
CCUACGGGAGGCAGCAGUGGGGAAUAUUGCGCAAUGGGGGCAACCCUGACGCAGCAACGCCGCGUGAUUGAAGAAGGCCUUCGGGUUGUAAAGAUCUUUAAUCGGGGACGAAUUUUGAUGGUACCCGAAGAAUAAGCUCCGGCUAACUACGUGCCAGCAGCCGCGGUAAUACGUAGGGAGCAAGCGUUAUCCGGAUUUACUGGGUUGAAAGGGCGGGUAGGCGGGCAUGCAAGCCAGAAGUGAAAUCUUGGGGCUUAAACCCAAAAUUGCUUUUGGAAUUGGGUGUCUUGAGUGAGGGAGGGGCAGGCGGAAUUCCCAGUGUAGCGGUGAAAUGCGUAGAUAUUGGGAGGAACACCAGUGGCGAAGGCGGCCUGCUGGACAUUAACUGACGCUGAGGCGCGAAAGCGUGGGGAGCAAACAGGAUUAGAUACCCCAGUAGUC